CCCCUAGGGGGAGGGCCGCGCGAGUUUUUAUGAAGGCGCGCCACAGAGGUUUGGAACUUGCGGAAUCGCCCCGCCCCCAGUCGACCUGCGCUCCUGCUCUCUCCCAAGGCUGGGACUUGGGGACGCUUGGGUUCCCGGCAGACUCUGCGGCAGACGCGCUGUGUGACCUUGAGCAAGUGUCCCCGCUCUGGGGGGGCCUCCGUUUCCACUAGUAAAAUGGGAUUGGGGUGCUCUGGCCCUGCAAUCUGUGACCUAAUGAAAUCCAUGACCUCUCCGACUUGAGGCCACGCGCGUCCCCUCCCCGCCCCAUCCUUGGCGACCCCAAGGCUCUACUGCACACGGUUCUGGCCAAGGAGGCCUACGCUGAAGGCUGCAGGAUUACUGAGGAUUAAAUGGCAUUCAAAGAUAAGAAGAGCUGACUCACUGCCAGCAACUGCUUACCUCUAGUAGCAGGAAGAAAAUAAACCCUUGUCUUUAAGCCAU